rnacentral:rRNA from 1 species
GCAAGUGUGGGCGAGGAGUCGAGUUAAUAUAGAGGGUGGUAGAGUUAAGCUGAAUUACAUGGCUGAAAUGGGUCGUAUGUGUCUGUUUAAGGCAGAUGUGAACGCCCCUGGCUGAAACUGGGAACUGCAUCUGAUACUGGACGGCUAGAGUAGGUGAGAGGGGAGUAGAAGUCCAGGUGUAGCGGUGAAAUGCGUAGAGAUCUGGAGGAAUACCGAUGGCGAAGGCAGCUCCCUGGCAUCAUACUGACACUGAGGUUCGAAAGCGUGGGUAGCAAACAGGAUUAGAUACCCUGGUAGUC